rnacentral:lncRNA from 1 species
AGGUAAAAGAUAAUGUCAUUUGGAACAUCAACACAAUGUCUCUUUAAACACGGAGGCCAUCACCCAAUUGAAUAUUACUAGACAUACAAAAAGGGAGAAAGUGUGACUGAUAAUCAAGAGAAAACCAAACAACAGAGACAAACUCAGAGAUUGUGGUAGCCAGCUAGCAAGAUGGUCCCCAAUGAUGCCUGCCUCCUGGUAUUUCAUCCUUGUGUAGUCCUCUCUCACGCUGAAGGGGGCCGACUUUGUAAUCAAUUGAUUACAGCAGAAAUAACAAGUGUGACUUCUAAGAUUAAGUCAUAAAAGACUAUUUAUAGCUUCUACCUUACUGCUUCUUGGAUCAUCCACUCUGGGGGAAGCCAGCUGCCAUGUCGUGAGGAUUCCCAAGCAGCCUCAUGGAAGUUCAUGUAAAGCCUCCUGCCAACAGCCAGCAAGGGACUGAAGAGUCCUGCUCACCGCUUUAGGAGAGCUAUCUCGGAAAUGGAUCCUCUGGUUCCAGCCAAAGCAAAAAGGGGCAUCCAUCCUUCAACAGAGGAUAUCCUAACACAAACCAAAAACCUUGGAGAGACACGCAGCCAUACAAUGGAGGGCAGAGAGGCUGGAGCCCCCCUGGGAGGAGCUGGAAUGGGAACUUACAUUAAACUCAAAGAAGUCUGUAUACCACCUACCUAUGCUAACCAAUCUAAUCACAAUUCAGAAACGUGAACAAACAACUAAGUAUCACUAGAGAGGACUUCGGGACCUCCUCAAGCUGAAAAAGAAAUUCCAGCAUGAGCAAACAUGAUAACACAUUCUAAAUCAAAAGAUAUCAUUUGGAGGAUAAAACAAUAAAAUUUCAAAGAAAUUC